rnacentral:rRNA from 1 species
CCCUUAGAUGUCCUGGGCCGCACGCGCGCUACACUGAGUGUCUGAGAUACGAGUCUGCCUGGUCCGGCAAGGUCUAGGUAAUCGCUAAAAGACACAUCAUGCUUGGGAUAGAUUACUGCAAAUAUUAAUCUUGAACGAGGAAUUCCUAGUAAGCGCAAGUCAACAGCUUGCGUUGAUUACGUCCCUGCCCUUUGUACACACCGCCCGUCGCUACUACUGAUUGGAUGUUUAAGCGAGGUUCUCGAACUGCUAGCGACUUAGCUUCGGUGAGGUCGCAGUGUGGGAAGUGAACCUAGCUUUGGUGUCUAGAGGAAGUAAAAGUCGUAACA